rnacentral:rRNA from 1 species
GUCUAUGGCCAUGUUACCCUGAACAAGCCCAAUCUGGUCUGAUCUUGGAAGCUAAGCAGGAUUGGGCCUGGUUAUACAUUGGAUGGGAGACCACCUAGGAAGACUAGGUGCUAUAGAUG